rnacentral:piRNA from 1 species
UACAACCCUCCCUGUCUGUGGCUGUCA